GGGCAGUUAGUUCAGUGGUAGAAUGCCUGCUUCACACGCAGGAGGUCGCUGGUUCGAUCCCAGCACUGCCCA
rnacentral:tRNA from 4 species